AAGACAUUUUCCACAGCUCAUCUAUUCACCCUUGAAACCAUUUCCACAGCUCUUUUCUUCACCCUUUCCACAGCUCCUCUCUUCACUCUCUUCACCCUAUCGAUUGCAGCCUCAUCAUCUCUGCCUCAUCUUCUCUGCUAGUUUUGCUGUUCUCUUUGCUUGCCUCGUUAGCGUGCUGCUUCACCUCUGUUGGUUUAUCGAAGGUAAAAUUGCAAGCUCUAGGUUAGGGGAUCUGUUGAUUUCUGCAAGUUUUAUUGCAAGUUUUUGUAGUAGAUGUGUUUUCUGCAAAUGGGUAGUUUUUUGCAAAUGUUUUUUGCAAAUCAGUUUCUGGGUUAACUAGAAAAUGGGUAAUUUGGAUACUUUAGCACCCCAUCAUGCAUGCGUAUGCUAUAUAGCUUCUACAAUCUUUGCUAAAUUUCAUCUGUAAGUUCUCUUGACCUCCAACUUGGUCGAUUUAGAAUCGUCAGUGAUUGGCAAUUCUUGGACUUUACCGUUCUCUGUUGUUGUUGAGUUCUUCUGAUCUAAGAUUAUGAGUGACUAAUGCUAAAUGGAAAGGAAAAUUGAAAAAAAUUACAGCCUUAACACCAAUACAGUAGCAUCUGACCUUAACACCAAUACAGUAGCAUCUGACCUUCAAUGCUUUAAGGGUUACAAUUUUUUUCAUUUGCUUUGUUAGAUUGCGGCCUUAACACCAAUACAGUAGCAUCCGACCUUCAAUGCUUCUCGAAGUGAUUCAAUUCUUUCCCAUGAUGGUAAGAUACCUAGUAGUUGAUCUCUACCUCUUCUAUCAGUUUUGGAACUUGCGCAGUCUACAUCUGUAUUGGCUUCUAGUUUUAAAGAUAAUAGAAGGCAAUUUACCCUUAAAGUAUAUUAGUGUUCUUAAUACAACUUGAAGAUGGGAUUUUUGUAGGAUCAUAUAUCUGGAUUCGAGUAUGUAUUUGAUACAGGCAUGAAAACAUAGUUUUAUAGCUAAGUGUCAGACACAAGUUUCAAAUGCGGAUAUUUAAAAGGAAAAUGUAGAGUCAAAGCAACAUAGAGCUGGCCAAUGCUUCUAAUUUGCAUCAGGCUACAACUUUAGCUUUAAAUUCAAACAUUAAAGGGUCCAUAAGUUGGUUUUCAAUUUAAUUUUUGGCUAGAAGCUACUUGACAUGCAAUGCAAGCAUACAUAUACAAGAAGAAUAUCUACCUUUACUUAAGGGCCUAUGUCCGUAACUCCAUCAAAAUCUGAGUCCUUGGACAUAAUUUCCUGUCUGUCUCAUGCUUUUUGUCAAUUGAGGCAUCACGGUUUUGUCCACAAAAGACACAUCCCCGUCGAACUUUAGCAUACCAUGAAUGUGAGAUUCAUGACUCCUUUUCUACUGCAACUUCAUUAUGCACCAUCAAUUUGUUGUAGCUACUUUUAUCAUUUAUCUACAGAACGUCAUUCCUACUUUCCAGCAGAAUGGAUUGAUUUUUUAAUGUCAGAUUUAUUCAAGAAUCACUCUUUCAACAGCUAAGAACUCAUGAACAACGCCAUUUACUUCAAUCAUGCUACAUCCAGGCUCCUUAUUUACUUUCAGGGCCUAAUCUAAUAUUUUGGCUGGCAUUGCUUACGCCUUUCUUUCUUUCUUUGCUUUAGCAUAAUGCAUUACACGUAGAUUUUCAUGGUUAAUUUUGCACGAAACCCAUCUUUUAUCUUUGUAAUUUGAACUACUAAUGUUUUGGUUACAAUUUGAACAUAUAUGCCCUGGCAUGAUACAUCACAUAUUUCCAAUAUUUUAAAUGUUUGAAUCAACUGUUGCAGCUAAUGUUCUUACUGACACGGUUCUAAUUUCUUUCUAUGCUUGACCUCCAGCUAUACAGUUCUUGCUGUCCUAGCCUCUACCUCAGCAUUCUUACUCCUGUUAGUGGCCUUGGUUGAUAUUUUCAUAAGAGGUUAGUGUUGAGCGUCUUUGGAAUGUCUUAUUUCUUGAUUCUGGUCUGCUAAUGGCAUGGCAUUUGUUUUUGAAACAUUUGUUUCAUUCAAACAUUUGUUUUUAUAUAUACACAUUUAUUCAUUUACAUUGUACUUUGC
rnacentral:lncRNA from 1 species